rnacentral:rRNA from 1 species
UACGGAGGGGGCUAGCGUUGCUCGGAAUUACUGGCGUAAAGCGCGUGUAGGCGGUCUGGUAAGUCGGACGUGAAAUCCCGGGGCUCAACCCCGGAAGUGCGCUCGAUACUGCCGGACUGGGUUCUGAAGAGGAGAGCGGAAUUCCCGGUGUAGAGGUGAAAUUCGGUAGAUAUCGGGAGGAACACCAGUGGCGAAGGCGGCGACCUGGUCCGGAUACUGACGCUGAGGCGCGAAAGCGUGGGGAGCAAACAGGA